UACGAAGGGGGCUAGCGUUGUUCGGAAUCACUGGGCGUAAAGCGUACGUAGGCGGCCCAUUAAGUCGGGGGUGAAAUCCCAGGGCUCAACCCUGGAACUGCCUUCGAUACUGGUGGUCUGGAGUCCGGGAGAGGUGAGUGGAACUCCGAGUGUAGAGGUGAAAUUCGUAGAUAUUAGGAAGAACACCAGUGGCGAAGGCGGCUCACUGGCCCGGUACUGACGCUGAGGUACGAAAGCGUGGGGAGCAAACAGG
rnacentral:rRNA from 1 species